ACCAACUCAUUAUUAAUCACUUUUAUGGAUUAAAAAAAGAGUAUUAGUAAAAAGCCAAAAAGUUCAAAACUGCGGUUACCCAUCAAAAUAAUCAACUUCCACAUUUAACCUAUUUAAAACAAUCAUAUUAUCAUGGGUUCGAUACACAUUACACUAAUCAAAAACAAAAGAAAAGUUAAAAAACUGAAGAGAGAGUGAUAGGGAAAAGGAAGAAGACACAGAAGAUGAUGGAAAAAGAGGACUAUGAAAAUUAGUAUUGAAUUUUAGUAACAGCCAAUGCUUUGCCAAUUUCUAUUUCUGUACUUUUACUUAUGUUUGCUAAUAGACAUUGAAAUUAAUCAAAUAUUGCUCUUGGCCUUUGCCAUUGUCAUCUAUCAAUCAUUGAAUUGGAUAUAUUCAAAUUAAAAACACACUCAAAGUCUCCUAUGCUUCUUCUGCAUUCAGUUUGCUUUUAUUUGUUUUGAAAAUUGGUCAUUUUUAUUUGGAUUAUUUUGAUUUUGAAUUUGGUUAAGUUUUAUACUUCUAAUUUUUUCUAUUCCAAAAACUGCCUUUUUUUCUCCAUGAAGUGGUACCUGUAUAUGUAAUGAAAUCAUAGGAGUUUUUGUUUUUUUUUAAGUUUUGUUUUCCUUUGUAAGUAAGUAAUUGAAUAUUUCUUUUUAUUGGAUCUGGUUUGCUUUGUUAAAUGAAGAUAUCUUUUACUGCAGAAGUACUAUGAGAAACAUUCAAGUAAAUCACGUGCAAAGCCAAAAGAACCAUCACGAUAUUCAUCCUAAGAAGCUUCCUGUGACAAUGUAUACAUCUAUCUCGCCUAUUAUUAUAUGUCAUUAUAUUUUCGAAUAUAAUUUCAGUUAUACCAAUAGAAUGGUUAUUUAUUGUUGAUAUAUAUGAAAUUGGUGAAUACUUAUUUACCCAAUUUAAAAAGUUGGAUAAGGUUACCUUCAGUGUAAAAUGUCUUGAAAACACCAAACAAAUGUAUUAUUUAAUAAAUGAGUUUAAAGGUAGUGCACUGACAGUGUAAACAAACUUUACACAUACAUCCAAUCAAAAUCCUUACACUUGCCAUGUCAUAUUAAUUUUUUAAAUUAAAAUUAUGUUUUAAUUGGAUGCAUGGUUGUGAUUAGUUGACAGUGUAAAAAUAUUUUACACUGUCAGUGCAUAUCCCUUUUUCUCUUAAUAAAUAAUUAAAUAUGUAAAAGUUAAAGAAUGAUGAAUAGUGUACCUUCAGUUAAUCACAUAACACCAUUUAACUUUUAUAUAUUUAAUUAUUUAUUAAAUAGUACAUUUGUUUGUUGUUUUCAAGACAUUUUACACUCAGGGUAACCUUACCCAACUUUGAGUAAGAGAGGUUACCCAACUCUGUGUGUGAGAGAGAGAGAGAGAGAGAGAUAUAUAUAUUAUUUAAUAAAUAUUUUUAACUUAGAUCAAAAUGACAUAAAAAAUAUGUUUGUGUUUUGAUGUUGUGCACAUGAAUAUAAACAUCGUCGCAUAUCAAUAUUGAGAUGCAAAAUCAACAAAUUAUAAUUAGUUAUACUACAUAAAAAUACAUAUCAUAAUUUUUUUCUAUAAAGUAUAAGAUAAAUUAAAUUCAAAAUUUUGAAAAAAAAACAAUUCAUAAUUUGCUGCUGUGCGCAUUAAAAAAGCGGAUAAACGGGCACGAGAGUGCCCGUUUAGACGCUAGUAUAUAUAAAGAGGAUACAAGAUUUUGGGCUGGCUUAUUUCCAUUCCUAUAAUACCCUUUGUCUUUUAGUUAAUUACAAUAAAUAAACAGUUAUUUUAUUUAUUUUUUAAAUAAAAAAGUUAAUAAAAAAACAAGUUGUAUACUUACACUUGAUAACUGCACGAAAAUAACUGUUGAAAGUUACUGGGGAGUUUUUUUAUCAUCACAUUUAUAACAAACUAAUUGGUAAAUCCAUUUACUACCAUGGUUGAUAUUAUUACCACCAUCAAUUCAUAUAAAUACAGGGCAAUUUCUAAUUUUAUUCUCUUACUGUAGUGGCAAUUUGUAUUUUCUGUGUCCUACUACUAUGGACAAAUUACUACCAUAAUUGACAUUGGUUAUUACUACAAUGUUUUUAUACUCCACUAACAAUUUGUAUGAAGUAGUAUAAUUUCUUUAUGCAUAUAUCACAUAAGCAGUAACGGCCAAACAGCAGUACAACCAGCAGUGACAUCACCGAGCCACCGAUUGUAAUCAGCGUUGAUAGCAGUUGUCGAUGCAAUCAGUGGUGGCAAUUAUGGGGUCGGAACUCUUCACUUAGUAGAUUAUUGCAGAAAGUGUUGUUGGAUUUAUUGAAUUCAAAUUAAUCAAUUGAUGGAAGAGGGUAAAAUUGAUUACCAAUAGUUUUGGAUUUUUUACCACUCCAUUUUUCAUAUUUGUUGUUGUUGAGAGAGACAUUGUAAAAGAAAUUAGAGAGGGAGAAAGAUCAUACAAGAGAAAUAGACAUUCUUUUCUUCUUUUGUUUUAUUUAGUGAUCUAUUUUUUUUACUAUUUCUCUUAAUCUAUACCAAUAGACAUAGGAUAGUCUUACU